GAUGAACGCUGGCGGCGUGCCUAAUACAUGCAAGUCGAGCGAACGGACGAGAAGCUUGCUUCUCUGAUGUUAGCGGCGGACGGGUGAGUAACACGUGGAUAACCUACCUAUAAGACUGGGAUAACUUCGGGAAACCGGAGCUAAUACCGGAUAAUAUUUUGAACCGCAUGGUUCAAAAGUGAAAGACGGUCUUGCUGUCACUUAUAGAUGGAUCCGCGCUGCAUUAGCUAGUUGGUAAGGUAACGGCUUACCAAGGCAACGAUGCAUAGCGGACCUGAGAGGGUGAUCGGCCACACUGGAACUGAGACACGGUCCAGACUCCUACGGGAGGCAGCAGAAGGGAAUCUUCCGCAAUGGGCGAAAGCCUGACGGAGCAACGCCGCGUGAGUGAUGAAGGUCUUCGGAUCGUAAAACUCUGUUAUUGGGGAAGAACAUAUGUGUAAGUAACUGUGCACAUCUUGACGGUACCUAAUCAGAAAGCCACGGCUAACUACGUG
rnacentral:rRNA from 1 species